rnacentral:tRNA from 1 species
GCCUGGGUGGCUCAGUUGGCUGAGCAUCUGACUUCGGCUCAGGUCAUGAUCUCACAGUUUCGUGAGUUCGAGCCCCACGUCAGGCU